rnacentral:rRNA from 1 species
AACUUGUUUCUUGGGUGACGAGCGGCGGACGGGUGAGUAACGCGUAGGAAUCUACCUAGUAGAGGGGGACAACAUGUGGAAACGCAUGCUAAUACCGCAUACGCCCUUAGGGGGAAAGGAGGGGACUUUUCGGAGCCUUCCGCUAUUAGAUGAGCCUGCGUGAGAUUAGCUAGUUGGUAGGGUAAAGGCCUACCAAGGCGACGAUCUCUAACUGGUCUGAGAGGAUGACCAGUCACACUGGGACUGAGACACGGCCCAGACUCCUACGGGAGGCAGCAGUGGGGAAUAUUGGACAAUGGGCGCAAGCCUGAUCCAGCCAUGCCGCGUGUGUGAAGAAGGCCUUAGGGUUGUAAAGCACUUUCAGGGGUGAGGAAGGGCGUUUGGUUAAUACCUAGAUGUCUUGACGUUAGCCCCAGAAGAAGCACCGGCUAACUCUGUGCCAGCAGCCGCGGUAAUACAGAGGGUGCAAGCGUUAAUCGGAAUUACUGGGCGUAAAGCGCGCGUAGGUGGUUUGUUAAGUCGGAUGUGAAAUCCCAGGGCUCAACCUUGGAAUGGCACCCGAUACUGGCAAGCUAGAGUAUGGUAGAGGGGUGUGGAAUUUCCUGUGUAGCGGUGAAAUGCGUAAAUAUAGGAAGGGACAUCAGUGGCGAAGGCAACACCCUGGACUAAUACUGAACCCUGGAGGUGCAAAACGUGGGGAGCAAAACGGAUUAAGAAUCCCCUGGUAUCC